ACAGUUUUUGGUAGAUGGCAUUUUAUGGUAUGUAGCAUAUAAUUUUUUGGUAGGUAACAAUUUACAGGUAUAGCAUAUACUACACCAACAGAUUCGCGCAAAAACUUUUUCGCCACUUUUAAGUUUUUAAAGAAUUUUAAUUUUUGGAAGUUUUUUGCUUUAAUUCGGUUAUAAAUACGCGUAGAGACUUGAAACUUGCUAAUGAUACUUAUAUUAAACUUACCUAGAUCUAGUUAAGAUUUCAAAAUCUUCGGACGACUUUUUAAUUU